GUGGGGAAUAUUGGGCAAUGGGGGAAACCCUGACCCAGCGACGCCGCGUGAGGGAAGACGGCCUUCGGGUUGUAAACCUCUUUUGUACGGGAAGAAGGAAGUGACGGUACUGUACGAAUAAGUCCCGGCUAACUACGUGCCAGCAGCCGCGGUAAUACGUAGGGGACGAGCGUUGUCCGGAAUUACUGGGCGUAAAGGGCGCGCAGGCUGUGCUGCAAGUCAGCUGUGAAAUGUCUGGGCUUAACCCGGGCAUGCGGUUGAGACUGCAGUGCUGGAGUGCUGUAGAGGCAAGUGGAAUUCCCAGUGUAGCGGUGAAAUGCGUAGAUAUUGGGAAGAACACCGGUGGCGAAGGCGACUUGCUGGGCAGCAACUGACGCUGAGGCGCGAAAGCCAGGGGAGCAAACGGGAUUAGAAACCCUUGUAGUC
rnacentral:rRNA from 1 species